AUUGAACGCUGGCGGCAGGCCUAACACAUGCAAGUCGAACGGUAACAGGAAGAAGCUUGCUUCUUUGCUGACGAGUGGCGGACGGGUGAGUAAUGUCUGGGAAACUGCCUGAUGGAGGGGGAUAACUACUGGAAACGGUAGCUAAUACCGCAUAACGUCGCAAGACCAAAAAGGGGGACCUUCGGGCCUCUUGCCAUCGGAUGUGCCCAGAUGGGAUUAGCUAGUAGGUGGGGUAACGGCUCACCUAGGCGACGAUCCCUAGCUGGUCUGAGAGGAUGACCAGCCACACUGGAACUGAGACACGGUCCAGACUCCUACGGGAGGCAGCAGUGGGGAAUAUUGCACAAUGGGCGCAAGCCUGAUGCAGCCAUGCCGCGUGUAUGAAGAAGGCCUUCGGGUUGUAAAGUACUUUCAGCGGGGAGGAAGGGAGUAAAGUUAAUACCUUUGCUCAUUGACGCUACCCGCAGAAGAAGCACCGGCUAACUCCGUG
rnacentral:rRNA from 1 species